CAGAUAUGUUUUUAUUUGUCAAACUGAAAGAGCUUUUGUUUGAAGCAACACAUUUUUUAACUGUAUACAGUUUAUCACUCUCCUCUUCAGGCUUGAACUUAACCAGCAUUAUAAUACGUAUGUUAUCAUGAUUGACACUCAGAAUGAGGAGGUAAGAAAUAUUCUGUGAAUAGCGGACACAGAAAUACAACAACAGGAUGAGUUUCCACUCUGCUCCCCUUUUUGAACUUGGGAGAUAAAGUUUUACAAUGCACAAGACAAUCAAUGGCUAGUACAAAGUAAAGGCUAUUAGAUCUUUAUGAUAUGCAAGAACAUAAUGCGCCUUGGGACGUCUUUCUUAUACUGUUCAAACUCAUACAUCAUGCAAACUUCCUCAAAGCUUUGUAGCAGACCUGCUGACAGGAAGCUGGCUACAAAGAUCAAUCAGAGCAGAUGCUGGCCAAGAUCUAGUUAUUUAGCAAUAAACAAUUCAAGAGUGCACAAAAUAAUGUGUUUAUGCGUAUCCUUUGUCCAUGAACCUAAGAAAUGACAAUCACUGAUUCACACCAAUUACAAUUUUCACAUAUUGGUAAUUACAGCAAGGUCUUUCAGUGUAAUUUACAUUGUACAAUUGAAGUUUGGCAAUGCAUGAGUGAACUUUUCCAAAGAUAUCCCAUUGUUCUUUAAUAAACCAGAAUAAAAGCUAUACUCUGUUUCAAUCAGCCAGAUAACAAUCAAAAUAUGCUUUUGUUAUGUUUUUACGGUUUCUUGCCAUCUACAAAGAGUAUUAUGUUGAUGGAUGACAGCGCUAAAUGCCCUAGCACGCAACAAUAUAAAGUUAGCAACAAAAUGUUGUGAUGGUGACACAUUUUCUUGGUGUGUUCUUUGCUGUGCUUUUAGAAUUAAGUUUAAAAGUGUUUGAUUUGAAUAUAAAGUGAUGAAAAGAACAAUGGCACUCAGCCAAAAUUACUUUGGUGCAUCAAAUUAAAUAUGUUUUUUUUUAGUGUUACUUUCAGGAUGGGCUGCAAUCUUGGAACAAAUUCAUGGUACUUCUACAAUAUGGAAUGAUUGGAUAGUUAAGUGUCUGAAAGCAUAAAAGCACCCCCCUUCAGCUGUUGUUCUAGCACUCGACACUUUGAGUAAACUAGUUGAGAGUGGGAACCACUAGAGUAAUCCAGGCCUAUUUUUAAACCAUGUGGAAAAGGGCUGUGACACCGCUGCUAUGCCUCAGGUAGUUAUUUUCUUCCAUUUAUUAAACUAGUCAAGCAUCAUUGUUCAUUUACUGCAGCCAACAGCAGAAUCCACACACUGGAAACGGCACAACUAGGAUAUUUUGAUGCGAUGGUAUGGCGGCAUCUUUUUCCCCGGAAACGUAUUUUCCAUGAAACCAUUUAAACAUGCAGAGUUGUUCUCACGUCAUGUGCAAAUACCCACAAGCUCUAAAAUUAAAUUUCAUUUCACAUUAUAUUUCAUUACUAUAUCAUCUGUAAUACACGUAUGAGACUAAAAAUCAGAUCCCCUGAAAUAAAGAGGCUGUCAAUAUUUACUUUAGAGCUCUGUACUGUUACUACGGUUCAUCAUUGUUGUAGGUUGAGAUAGCAUUUUUUCAUAUAUUAUUAAUCUUGAACAUUUGCUCUUUUUUGAAAAACAAAAAGCUACAUUUAAUUAACAAUUAUUAUGUAUCGUACCAAAGGGGUUAAUAAAGAAAAUAACUGUUUUCAAUAUUUGAAUGGAGAGGAGAUGGUUUAAAUAACAGCUCUCACUCAAUUGACGUUUUCUUUAAAUAAUAAUACAGAGACAUAUUUAAAUAGGUGGCCAAAAAUGAUAAAUGUGUGGGUUAAUAUUACAUCUAUCCUGAGUUAGAUCUCCAAGACAACACAAAGACAUUUAACACAGAUCUUAUGCAUCUGACAGCUGAUACAAAUAAAUCAAAAAUAAAUACAAAAAAGAAACAAGCGAAAGAAAACAAUCCAAUUAUCUUAGAAAAAUCGAGCGUUAAUCACACAAAUAAAAAAUGGAGCUCUUUAUGAGAGCAGUAAGACAAGUCAACUGGAGAUAGCUUCAGUGUGCUGCAGUAAACGUUAAACUGCAGGGCCUUUUGUUGUCUCGUAUCAGGUAUCUUCAGUAAGCUUUUGCAGUGUGUUGUAAUGUUUCAGAACUAUUGAAAAAUGCACAUAAAAAUAGGUCCCUAAAUCAAAGCCAUUGUUCCCCGGGCUAGAGGUUUAAAAUGAUUUGUCAUAAUAUACAUUUAUAAUUUACGCACCAUGCAAUUUUUUUGACUUUUACAUAUAAUACAAGAGCAUUAAUAGUGUUUUGAUUGAUGUAGUAAUGUCAGUGUUCAUUAGGGUUAAAGCAUGGCUUGAGGAAAGUCGUAAUCAAAGUAAAAAUAUAUUUGAUAAUGCGGUAAGGUGUGACCUCUACAUGGUAUUUUAGAAAGUUUAGUAAUGGUAUGAAGUUGGUAAAUAAUGUCCAAUGAAGCACGACAGACAGCUUUCACAUGUUUGUUAAAAAGUGACACUGUACUAAUAGCUUCCAUGGCAACAGGAUGAAACCACAGCAAGAACCCCCCGACUCCAACCCCACCCCAACCCCACAUAUAUUACAGAAGUUCAUUCCAAACAGGAUGGUAAAUCUUGAGGAGAAUAAAAAGACAAAGUUCACGCUUUAAAGAGGAAAUUAAAAGACAAGAGUGGGUUAAGGGCAGGUUUUAAAUCAUUGUACAAAAGGAACAAACAGCAACCCACCACAACCAAACACGUAUUCUUGAAAAAUCCAUUGGAAAUUGAUUUCUUUUUACAGGUUGCACAGUUUAUUUUUGAAAUACAGGGAGAGAUACUCCAGUAUGCCACGGGAUAGGGGGAACAUGGCAAGAAAGAUGGAAGACAGGACUUCACUCUUCCUCUGUGCAUCCCAGUACUUCUGCACGCAAAGUGAUCCUGCCGUACCAUGACCAGGGAAGGAUCCGGAGGAGCCGAGCGUAGAUGGGGGGAUCUAACACGUUCUUUCGGUGCGUGUCGUUGUCAAAGUUACCUUGGAAUACCUUGUCCUUCCACUGAA